rnacentral:rRNA from 1 species
AGUGAACGCUGGCGGUAGGCCUAACACAUGCAAGUCGAACGGCAGCACAGUAAGAGCUUGCUCUUACGGGUGGCGAGUGGCGGACGGGUGAGGAAUACAUCGGAAUCUACUUUUUCGUGGGGGAUAACGUAGGGAAACUUACGCUAAUACCGCAUACGACCUACGGGUGAAAGCAGGGGAUCUUCGGACCUUGCGCGAUUGAAUGAACCGAUGUCGGAUUAGCUAGUUGGCGGGGUAAAGGCCCACCAAGGCGACGAUCCGUAGCUGGUCUGAGAGGAUGAUCAGCCACACUGGAACUGAGACACGGUCCAGACUCCUACGGGAGGCAGCAGUGGGGAAUAUUGGACAAUGGGCGCAAGCCUGAUCCAGCCAUACCGCGUGGGUGAAGAAGGCCUUCGGGUUGUAAAGCCCUUUUGUUGGGAAAGAAAAGCAGCAGGUUAAUACCCCGCUGUCCUGACGGUACCCAAAGAAUAAGCACCGGCUAACUUCGUG